UACGGGGGGGGCAAGCGUUGUUCGGAAUUACUGGGCGUAAAGGGCUCGUAGGCGGCCAACUAAGUCAGACGUGAAAUCCCUCGGCUUAACCGGGGAACUGCGUCUGAUACUGGAUGGCUUGAGAUUGGGAGAGGGAUGCGGAAUUCCAGGUGUAGCGGUGAAAUGCGUAGAUAUCUGGAGGAACACCGGCGGCGAAGGCGGCAUCCUGGACCAACACUGACGCUGAGUGAGCGAAAGCCAGGGGGGCAAACGGG
rnacentral:rRNA from 1 species